rnacentral:rRNA from 1 species
ACCUACGGGGCGCAGCAGUGAGGAAUAUUGGUCAAUGGGAGGAAGCCUGAACCAGCCAAGUCGCGUGAGGGAAUAAGGCCCUACGGGUCGUAAACCUCUUUUGCCGGGGAGCAAGGGCGGGGACGUGUCCCGGCCCGGAGAGUACCCGGAGAAAAAGCAUCGGCUAACUCCGUGCCAGCAGCCGCGGUAAUACGGAGGAUGCGAGCGUUAUCCGGAUUUAUUGGGUUUAAAGGGUGCGCAGGCGGUCUGUUAAGUCAGCGGUCAAAGCCCGGGGCUCAACCCCGGCCCGCCGUUGAAACUGGCAG